CGUGUUGGUGUUCAUUAUCGUGACAUGCAGCGAUGUUUCUGUUGCGUCUAACGUCUGUUUUGGAGCAUCAG